CUCUCUGUCAGAUUAAAUAAAUAAAAUCUUAAAAAAAAAAAAAACAUUGAAAUGAGAGGAAGAAGGGGAGAAGGCAAAGCGGUGAAGAAGCCAGAGCGGGCACUCGGCCUCUCCUGGUGACGGGGACACCCAGCCUUGGGGGAGCAGGGGUGCGCCGGGGCUCUGGGUGGUCUCAGAAACAAAGAGGAGACUGUAUUCCAGCCCAAGUGCCCGCCUUCAAGGACGUUGGCAGACAGCUCCUGUCAGCAGGAAAUGAGCCCGUCUGAGCUCCCUCGCCCCAUGGGGACACACAGAAGGAAGGACAAGAGGAGGACACGGGGAGCAGAGCAGCUGUGGGGGUGGGGACUGGCCCGGGUCUCCGUGGAACCCAGGAGGGAACUCCUCACCCCCAGCAGCGGGAGAAAUGGAUUUCCAUAACUAAGUCUGCACACGACGUCCCACCUCCACCCUGCGACGGCAGGAGAGACCCACACUGGGACACACACCCCCCCUCACUGCCACCACGUCACACGCCAUGCUGCCGCGGGCACCCCUCACCAUCAGUGGCAGACGCAGGCUUGUGUCACAGAUGCGCUGCCCUGUGACCUGCCGUGGCCACAAGCCCCAAGGCCCUCUGUGUUCAAGCAUGUUUGCAGAAAACAGUCGCUAAACGCUCAGACACAUACACUAACAAAACGCACACACAGUUAAUAAAACUACCUAUAAUUUUGAAAA